GCAACGAUGGUUCAGUGGUAGAAUUCUUCCCUUCGGUGCAGGAGACCCUGGUUCAGUUCCUGGCCAUCGCA
rnacentral:tRNA from 1 species